UUUACACCCGCCCACAUACAAUGCAGGCAGAUAUGAGCAAGCAGAGUCAAUGCAUCACAUUUAUGUGCAAAGCAUAACCCCCUCCCCCCCCUUCUCUACCACUAAAAAAAAGAAGCAAAGAAAAGAACGAAAUUGAUUCACAGACGAGGGAAAUGCAGCUUUUAUGUGUCGUGUACAAACUUGUGAGGUGGAAUUUAGGAGGAACUCAGAGGCAGGAGGAUGACCAGAACCAGGAUAGGAGACACCUUUAACCUGCACCUGCUGGACAUCGGGCCGGGUACAGAGUGUGUGUUCGCUCCGUGAGAGUGUGUGUGUGUGUGUGUGUGUGUGUAGCGGAGACAGAUGGAGCAGCCUGAAGCACGAUAUGAGAGAAAAGCUUGUGUGGAUGAAAUUGAUGAAGAGAAAACUUCAGGUCAGUGUUCUGCAUCUACUUUUGGUGCAACUAAUAACAAAUAAAUAAAAAUAGAGGGUGCAUAAUAGGUCUAUCUGUCUGUGUGUGUGUGCGUGCAGGUGAGUGGGAUUUCAUUUAUCCCAUCAAAUCUAAACUAAUUCACUAAAAGCUCGAGUGGGCUUGUUCUGUUAACCGGGGUCAACAGUUUCAAAUGAGCUAUUAAACGACUGCUGGAAGUGACAAAUCUCAGAGUGUCGUUUGAGAGCCUCUUUAGGUGUGAUUCUCCCUCUUAAUAACAUCUCCAGAUAUGUGAGAAUACUAUUAAUUGUGCACUCAGCGGCGUUGUGUGCCACACCCCGCGUUCCCGAGGAGCUUGACUUAUUUGCUCCUCCCGAUGCUCUGAAGUAGGUGGCGACUUACAUUCGUAGGAACAAUGGGAGAAUAUUCAUCAAACGUCUCAUCUGAUUUUUCCUGCUAUCAUUCUUUUUGUUCCUCUCUCUCCUCCCCUCCUUUCUCGGAUCGCUCGCUCUUAAUAUAUGUCUCGCUAAAUUGCUGCCGACAUAUCUGCAUAUUUGGUUUUCGGUAAAAUAUUUGAUUGCUCCUUCCAUUAUCUGUGACAGUGUGUGUGUUAAGGCGUUGUGGCAUAUAGGAUCUUUCCCUCUCCUUGUGAGGAUAACAAUUGAACUGCCUUUUCUUUCAGAAAAAUAGGCAAUACAAGAGGAAGAAAUGUGAAAAGGAUGAGCAAAGAGUGGCUGUUUAUUAUCCUUAAACGUGGAAUCUGGGUGUAAAUCUACACAGAAGGAAGAAGCAGCAGUCUGAACACAAACGGUUUUCAUCUUACCUGAAGAGAGUGCGGUCAAAAGGUGUGCCCGGCCCUCCACAACCAAUUCCCUUAAUUUUCUUAAUGAAACGGUCAAAACACAUUCAUUUGGAGCAGAGUGGGAAUGUUUGUGUGACUCAUCGUUUGCGUGUGAAAAUAAAAUAAAA